rnacentral:rRNA from 1 species
AUUGAACGCUGGCGGCAGGCCUAACACAUGCAAGUCGAACGAGUGGCGGACGGGUGAGUAAUGUCUGGGCAACUGCCUGAUGGAGGGGGAUAACUACUGGAAACGGUAGCUAAUACCGCAUACCAUCAGAUGUGCCCAGAUGGGAUUAGCUUGUUGGUGGGGUAACGGCUGACCAAGGCGACGAUCCUUAGCUGGUCUGAGAGGAUGACAAGCCACUUGGGAACUGAGAGUCGGUUGAGACUCCUACGGGAGGCAGCAGUGGGUAAUAUUGCACAAGGGGCGCAAGCUUGAUGCAGCCCGGCGGCGUGUAUGAAGAAGGCCUUCGGGUUGUAAAGUACUUUCAGCGGGGAGGCGUUACCCGCAGAAGAAGCACCGGCUAACGCCGUGCCAGCAGCCGCGGUAAUUC